rnacentral:sRNA from 1 species
GUAGAUAAGCACGCAGUCCCGGUCGGCGAAGGUGAAGACCGUGUCUAGGUGCAUGGCCGCACGCAAUUUUGGCAUUGCGGCGACGAUCACGCGC